rnacentral:lncRNA from 1 species
UAUUUUUGUUUUAUAAUAUAAAAUAUAGAGAAAUUGAUACUAAUAACCUUUUUAUGAUACCAUCUUUUAAAAAUACCCUCUUUUUUUACCAUUUUCAUUUUUGCCCUCUCUUAAAUUUUAAUGGCCAUUUUACCCUUAUUUGAAAGAAUAUUCUUUCCCAAAGGAAGGAAUAUUUCUUCCUUUGAUUUCCCGCCAAAAUUUUCCUGCCAAAAAUUUUUUUUUUCAAAAUUUUCCCGCCAAAUUUUUUUAAGGGUUUACAAGAUUUUUUAAAGAGUCUUUUAAAGGGUUUAAAAGGGUUUUUAAAGGGAUUUACAAGAGUUUGUAAAUGGUUUUUAAAAGAUUUGUAAUGGUUUUUAAAGGGUUUUAGAAGCUUACAAAGGUUUUUAAAUAGUUUUUAAAUGAUUUAAAAUGGUUUUUAAAAGUUUUUAUAAGUUUAUAACAGUUUUAAAAUGAUUUACAAGGAUUUUUAAAGGAUUUUAAAAAUUUAUAGAAGUAACUCCCUAUAUCUCUCCUUGUCAUCAUUUCUUCCCAAAAAGUUUCUCCUCCCACUUGAUUCUCUGUUCAUUUAUCUUCAUCAGACGCAGCUUCCUAUUCCUGGCUUUAGCUUCUUCAACUUCCUCGUGCCUGCCCUCUACUUCAGUCUGAAUAUCAUCCAAGAUCUUUACUCCACUGUAAGCACCCCAGAAGCCAAAGGUGGAAGCUAUCACCAAUGACCAAACACGUCCCCCAGUGCUAGCUUUUUCUUCAUCUCUGCAGAAAUCAAAUAAAUUUCAGCAACUAUAACUAGUAUAAACCCAAAAAUUGUCAAAAGAAACAAAAAAAAGGAACUUUACCCACGAAUAUUGAGUGAUACACAGGAAGAGUCUAAAGGACGAACUUUGUUAUCUGCAAAUUUUCCGGUUCAAAGAACAGAGCUGAAGAGAAUAAUUCCAACUCCAUUAAGCAAUGAUUAGAAAACUAGUAAAAAAUAUAAGGCCACAGAGAAAGAAGAAGUGUACCCACGAAAUCACAAGACGAUUCAAACGUACGGACUUUUUUUAUCUGAGAAGUUUACGGGCGAAAAGAAGAAAUGCUGCAGAGAAAAAUAACCCAAAUCCAAUCACCAAAUGAUUAGAAGAACAAGAGAAAACAUAACCACGAGAAAGAAGAAGAAGUCUUACCCAAGAAAUCACAAAAGGAGUCAAACGAACGGAACUUAUUAUCUGAGAAAUUUACCGCGUAAGAACAAAUGCUGCAGGGAAAAUCCCCAAUUCGAUUAAGAAAUGAUUAGAACUAAGAGAAAACAAAUUCACAAGAAAGAUCAAGAAGCGGUACCCAGGAGAAGCAGCGAAGAUUCAGAAGAACUGACGUUGUAUAUUUUCCGGGAAAAAAGAACAGACUGCAGAGGAAAUAGAAUCCAUAUCGAUUGAGGAAAGUUCGAACUAAUAUAAACUUGAAGAUCUUCGAAAGAAGAUACGCUAUCCAAAUGCUUGAUUCACAAGAAACGAGUUAAAAAGUACGGACUUUGAUUUCCGGGAAAACAUCGCAGAGAAAAACCCAAAAUUCGUUAAAGAAAUGAGUAGAGGAACUUAAAGAAAACAUAUGGCAUCGAAAGAAGAAGAAAAGCGUUACCUACGAAACUCUUGCGUCGCAAGGAAGCGUUCCUUCAACCUCAGCUUCUUUUCCCAACGUCGUGCUCUGGUGUCCUCGCUUGCUUCUUCGAUUCUGUACAACUCUAGAACGAAUUCAGUAUAAGAUAAUCUGAUAUUUUCAGAAGAUUGAAUUCGCAGAUGAGAAUCACGGAAACUACUCAAUCG